rnacentral:miRNA from 1 species
AGCCUUGUCGUCUGGGAGGAAUCCCUUCCGGGAGACAAGGCUGUUGUAGUGUUGUCGUCUGGGAGGGAUCCCUUCAGUGAGACAAGGCUGUUUUAGCCUUGUUGUCCGGAUCCCUUGCGGAGGACAAGGCUACAACAGCCUUGUCUCCCGGAAGGGAUCCCUUGCAGACAAGGAGGCU